rnacentral:rRNA from 1 species
CCUACGGGUGGCAGCAGUGAGGAAUAUUGGUCAAUGGACGAGAGCCUGAACCAGCCACGCCGCGUGAAGGAUGACUGCCCUCUGGGUUGUAAACUCCUUUUACAUGGGAAUAAAACGGUCCACGUGUGGGAUUUUGUACGUACCAUAUGAAUAAGGAUCGGCUAACUCCGUGCCAGCAGCCGCGGUAAUACGGAGGAUCCGAGCGUUAUCCGGAUUUAUUGGGUUUAAAGGGAGCGUAGGUGGAUUGUUAAGUCAGUUGUGAAAGUUUGCGGCUCAACCGUCAAAUUGCAGUUGAAACUGGCGGUCUUGAGUACAGUAGAGGUGGGCGGAAUUCGUGGUGUAGCGGUGAAAUGCUUAGAUAUCACGAAGAACUCCGGUUGCGAAGGCAGCUCACUGGACUGCAACUGACACUGAUGCUCGAAAGUGUGGGGAGCAAACAGGAUUAGAUACCCCAGUAGUC